GCAAUCAUGAGAGUUUGAUCCUAGCUCAGGAUGAACGCUAGCUGUGUGCUUAAUACAUGCAUGUUGAACGGGAUAGUAUUUUAGUUUUACUAAAGUAUUGUUUUAGUAGCAAAUGGGUGAGUAACACGUACCUAACCUACCUUUUGGACUGGGAUAACCAUUGGAAACAGUGGCUAAUACCGGAUAUAAUAAAAAUUCACAUGAAUUUUUAUGAAAAGGAGCGAAAAUAAGCUCCACCAAAAAAUGGGGGUGCGCAACAUUAGUUAGUUGGUAGGGUAAAGGCCUACCAAGACGAUGAUGUUUAGCGGGGCCAAGAGGUUGUACCGCCACACUGGGAUUGAGAUACGGCCCAGACUCCUACGGGAGGCAGCAGUAAGGAAUAUUCCACAAUGAGCGAAAGCUUGAUGGAGCGACACAGCGUGCAGGAUGAAGUCUUUAGGUAUGUAAACUGCUGUUGUAAGGGAAGAAAAAAAUUAGGUAGGGAAUGAUCUAAUCUUGACGGUACCUUACUAGAAAGCGACGGCAAACUAUGUGCCAGCAGCCGCGGUAAUACAUAGGUCGCAAGCGUUAUCCGGAAUUAUUGGGCGUAAAGCGUUCGUAGGUUUUUUGUUAAGUUUAAGGUUAAAUGCUAAAGCUCAACUUUAGUCCGCUUUAGAUACUGGCAAAAUAGAAUUAUGAAGAGGUUAGCGGAAUUCCUAGUGGAGUGGUGGAAUACGUAGAUAUUAGGAAGAACACCAAUAGGCGAAGGCAGCUAACUGGUCAUAUAUUGACACUGAGGGACGAAAGCGUGGGGAGCAAACAGGAUUAGAUACCCUGGUAGUCCACGCCGUAAACGAUGAUCAUUAGUUGGUGGCAGAAGUCACUAGCGCAGCUAACGCGUUAAAUGAUCCGCCUGAGUAGUAUGCUCGCAAGAGUGAAACUUAAAGGAAUUGACGGGAACCCGCACAAGCGGUGGAGCAUGUGGUUUAAUUUGAGGAUACGCGUAGAACCUUACCCACUCUUGACAUUCUCGCAAAACUAUAGAGAUAUAGCGGAGGCUAACGAGAUUACAGAUGGUGCAUGGUUGUCGUCAGCUCGUGUCGUGAGAUGUUAGGUUAAGUCCUGCAACGAGCGCAACCCUUUUCUUUAGUUGCUAACAUUAAGUUGAGAACCCUAGAGAUACUGCCGGUGUAAACCGGAGGAAGGUGGGGAUGACGUCAAAUCAUCAUGCCUCUUACGAGUGGGGCAACACACGUGCUACAAUGGCUACUACAAAGAGCAGCAAAACAGUGAUGUCAAGCUAAUCUCAAAAAAGUAGUCUCAGUUCGGAUUGAAGUCUGCAACUCGACUUCAUGAAGUCGGAAUCGCUAGUAAUCGCAGGUCAGCUAUACUGCGGUGAAUACGUUCUCGGGUUUUGUACACACCGCCCGUCACACCAUGGGAGUUGGUAAUGCCCAAAGUCGGUGAGUUAACCUCGGAGACCAUUGCCUAAGGCAGGACCGAUGACUGGGGUGAAGUCGUAACAAGGUAUCCCUACGAGAACGUGGGGAUGGAACACCUCCUUUCU
rnacentral:rRNA from 1 species